CAGGCCACAGUAGGGCGAACGGCAACAGCAUGAAGGCAGAAGAAGGGGAGUCAUGCCGAUAAGGGGGGUGGGUGGCCUAAUACCAAAGAGUGGGGUUUCUAUGAUACCGCCUUUGGUCUCCACUACACACGCCACCACCUUGUUGCCUUGGUGGAACAGACGAUGAUUGGCACCUUUUGUUUUUUUUUAUAUAUUCAUCCAAUGGGAUGGAAAUUUUCGUCAGCGGUAUGGGGUUUGUCGUGGUGGUGGCGUGUGAGGUUUUGCGGAAAUGGCUUAGGUUGGCUGCACAUGUCCAAUGAAUGGUUGACAGGGUUGGCCAUAGUUAGUGUUCAACGUAUGGUACGGCACAUGCGUGUACUCAGGCGUAAGUCAGGGUUGGUACUAGGGUCAUGGAAGCAGCGACAUGUCGCUUCGGCAUGUUACACGUUGUUCUGAAUCAGGCCUUUAGAACCGAAAUUUUCCAAGGAUAAUCAUCCGCAUACCAUUGGACGAUACAACACGUAUCGAUAUCAUGCGCUGACGAGUUCUUCUACACCGGGACAAAUUACAUUGCAUUUGUAUGUCAUUUAUAUUCGCAGCGACAUGUUUGCUCAUGGAACCCAGGACUAAUGAUUUGAUAGGUAUUUUCCUACAACGCGUAGCGCAUUUGGCGUUAUUAAUUUUCCAUUACGUUUAAUGGAAGUGGGUGUUUGACUUUAGAUAUGUAUGGAAUCCGUCAGAUAUGACAAUCUGUCCGAUAAGUCGUUGGUCCGUUUAUUUAAAUGGGGAGGCAUCAGAGUUGAUUCCGAAUGGGCAUUCACAAUAGUUAAUACCGGCCCUGUCUUUGAGAAGAGGGCCGCAAAGGAAAUUUGUUUAUUUUGGAGAAAGAAUGAAAAUGCGGCAUAAAGAAAGUUAGAGGAAAAUGGUCGAUCUUGGAAAAUUGGCAUUUGGCGGGAGGAAAAUGGGACUAUAUAAGCUGGCCAGGGCGAGAGAGAGAAGCCAUUAACCAAGGAGACGUAAUAGUGCGAACUUAGUUCUGUGAAUUUAAGAAAAAAGUCGGUGUAUUUAAUUGAAAUAUAUCUGUGUUGUCAGUGUCAGUAAAGGCAAAUAGAAUAUUGAACAUCAUUAACAACUUUAUUUUGAUCGUGUUUUGCUGUAAAUACAUUUAAAUAAAUUGAUUCCUGUAGUGGCGAUAAGCACUGGCCAACCUACGCAUAAGGGGGCCAGUGCGAAAUUUUUAUUGGUGGAAAAGUUCUCCAGUGAGCCCCAAUUUUCCGAGCUUACUGUGCCUGAUUGCUGGCGGCUGCGAAAUUUCUCAGCUUGAGAGGGUUGUGCUGUGUAAGCUUCGAGCUGAAGAGGCCUGACCCAGGUGCUGCAGCCGUGUGAUUUUGUCUGCGAUCAUCCAUAUAUAAACAGCCCUGAAACAAGAAAUAAAAGGCAAUCUGUAAUCAAUGUGUUAACGGAAUCAAGGUAAAAGCUGUGUCUUACCAAUUUAUGUCUGUGUCCUAUAUCUGUGAAGUCCCCAUAAGCGAGAUUUUAAUAUUGUCUGGCAGCCGUCCAAAAACCUAAAAGAGAGGAAACAAAAAAAAAAUAAAAAAAUUCGAUUAGUUUUCAUCAUAAAACAAACAAAUAAUUGAUAUCUAGUGUUAAAUAUGUAUGGGAAAUAGCGUAACGAUAAAAAAAAAGAAGUGUGAAGAGAAUAAUACUUGGAUUUGCGUAUAAUAAGGCUUAAGGUAGCCAGGAGGAUUACUAAAUUCCCGGUCUUUUGGUUGUAAUUUGAUUCUGCAGCAAACUAAGGGCAGAAAAGGUCUUUUAAGAGAGCUCUUUUAGGAGAUAGGUCAAGUUGUUAAUUCGCGCCAAUUGAGCAGCGUCUUAGGCCAAGGGAUAAAGGUUAUCGUUUUUGUCUCGCCUUAUAAUGAGUGAGCCGAAAAGUUUCUAAUUAACCAGUAUUGUUCUUUAUUUUUUUUGUGUUGUGUAUUUAAUUAUUGUAAGUGAAAGUUAAAUAAAAAAAAAAAAAAAAAAAAAAAAAAAAAAAAAAGAAUAUUAAAUUUAAAAUCUUUAAUUUUCAAACCCAUAAAAAUCUUAAUAAAUUUUGAUAUGUCUUAGUUUAUAGUAGAAAAAGUUAUGUGUUGGUAAAUUUAUAAAUUCGGGGGGGCAGAGUAAUGUGGUAAGUGUGUGAUUUCGUAGGUGUGGUGUACGGGGUCCAACAUAAUCUAAUGUGCCGGACUUUUUGGACCAUGGUUGGGUGGGCUAGCGUGAGAUCCUUCCACCAAGAUCUCUGUGUUGAUGUUUUCCCUUGUGUGUAAUUAUGAGUCAGUAAAGUUUGUGAAUAAAACAGUGCCCCCUCAUUUUCGAUGUUUGUGUGCAGGGUUUGAUUUGGCGGGUUGAGGCCCCUAGCCCUGAUUGUCUCUCCACAGCUAACCGGCAGCCAUUUCGAACGCCGACUAAGCGCACACAUAACAGAGAUGGCGCCCAAUCUAAAAGUAAGAAUGUACCUGAUGCGCAUUGUAAAAUGGCGAUUAUUCUGACGCCUUUGAACACUGUGAUAGCGGGUUAAGGGAAUCUGUGCAAUGAGAUCGACGCACAUAGCAAUAGAAUACUAAAUAGAUAAGAAAUAGACCAAAAGGAAAUAGUUUAGAAUCUUUAACAGUCUGUGAUUUUGUAUUGCAUCCAACCUUGCCUAAGGCAAGUGAUUUUGAAGUGCAAUAUUUUGUUUCAAUAGGUUAAAGAGAAUAUUUUCUCCAAUUUUCAACUACGGGACGUGCAAUAGCUCGUUGAUUAGAUACUUGACAACGAUUGUAUUGUACGCGUCCAGUUUUUUUUUUGAUGUAUAGUUUUAGAGUCAAUAGAUUAUUUAUCAAUAUAGACAAAAGAUAACUUCAAGUUAGGGAAAGUGCAAUAACCGUUUCGUGGGACUUACACGAAAGUCAGUUGUAUUGCGAGUACCGUAAGCCAGGAGCUUUUGUUUUGUUUCCCGUAGGGAAAAAUAAAUGUCAUGGACAGUGAAGUUAUGUUUGUGUUGGUUUUAUGUCAUCGUUAGCUUGUUAUACAAAUGUCUAGGAAAACAUCGAUGCACCUCAAUAGAGGGCGCUGUAAUUUAUAACCGAAUUCAGAAAAUUAAACCACAUAAGAAAUCCACACUGCUUCUGAAAAUACAAUGCCCCCAUAUUUUAAUGUUUUGAUUGUCAAAUAAAAUUAAAAUUGCUGUAUCUUUUAUUAACAAA